rnacentral:rRNA from 1 species
CCUACGGGUGGCAGCAGUGAGGAAUAUUGGUCAAUGGACGAGAGUCUGAACCAGCCAAGUAGCGUGAAGGAUGACUGCCCUAUGGGUUGUAAACUUCUUUUAUAAAGGAAUAAAACGAGGCACGUGUGCCUUUUUGCAUGUACUUUAUGAAUAAGGAUCGGCUAACUCCGUGCCAGCAGCCGCGGUAAUACGGAGGAACCGAGCGUUAUCCGGAUUUAUUGGGUUUAAAGGGAGCGUAGAUGGGUUGUUAAGUCAGUGGUGAAAGUUUGCGGCUCAACCGUAAAAUUGCAAUUGAUACUGGCAGUCGUGAGUACAGUUGAGGUAGGCGGAAUUCGUGGUGUAGCGGUGAAAUGCUUAGAUAUCACGAAGAACCCCGAUUGCGAAGGCAGCUUACUAAACUGUGACUGACAUUGAUGCUCGAAAGUGUGGGUAUCAAACAGGAUUAGAUACCCGUGUAGUC